GGUGAUUACCCAGUAUCUCAAGGUACUAAGGGCUUCCGACCUUCCACUCUCGUGGUUGUGUCGUAACCACAAUUUUUGGAACGCCUUCUCGGGGACAUCCGGGAGGGCAAC
rnacentral:sRNA from 1 species